UAGGGAAUCUUCCACAAUGGACGCAAGUCUGAUGGAGCAACGCCGCGUGAGUGAAGAAGGUCUUCGGAUCGUAAAGCUCUGUUGUUGGUGAAGAAGGAUAGAGGCAGUAACUGGUCUUUAUUUGACGGUAAUCAACCAGAAAGUCACGGCUAACUACGUGCCAGCAGCCGCGGUAAUACGUAGGUGGCAAGCGUUGUCCGGAUUUAUUGGGCGUAAAGCGAGCGCAGGCGGAAUGAUAAGUCUGAUGUGAAAGCCCACGGCUCAACCGUGGAACUGCAUCGGAAACUGUCAUUCUUGAGUGCAGAAGAGGAGAGUGGAACUCCAUGUGUAGCGGUGGAAUGCGUAGGUAUAUGGAAGAACACCAGUGGCGAAGGCGGCUCUCUGGUCUGCAACUGACGCUGAGGCUCGAAAGCAUGGGUAGCGAACAGGAUUAGAUACCCUGGUAGUCCAUGCCGUAAACGAUGAGCGCUAGGUGUU
rnacentral:rRNA from 1 species